rnacentral:rRNA from 1 species
UACGUAGGUGGCAAGCGUUGUCCGGAUUUACUGGGCGUAAAGGGCGUGCAGGCGGUCUGUUAAGUGCAGGGUGAAAGCUCCCGGCUCAACUGGGAGAGGUCCUUGCAUACUGGCGGACUUGAGGGGGGUAGAGGAAAGUGGAAUUCCCGGUGUAGUGGUGAUAUGCGUAGAUAUCGGGAGGAACACCUGUGGCGAAGGCGGCUUUCUGGGCCCUACCUGACGCUGAGACGCGAAAGCGUGGGGGAGCGAACCUGG